UACGUAGGGUGCGAGCGUUGUCCGGAAUUAUUGGGCGUAAAGAGCUCGUAGGCGGUGUGUCGCGUCGGUCGUGAAAACUUGGGGCUUAACCCUGAGCUUGCGGUCGAUACGGGCAUCGCUGGAGUUCGGCAGGGGAGACUGGAAUUCCUGGUGUAGCGGUGAAAUGCGCAGAUAUCAGGAGGAACACCGGUGGCGAAGGCGGGUCUCUGGGCCGAUACUGACGCUGAGGAGCGAAAGCGUGGGGAGCGAACAGG
rnacentral:rRNA from 1 species